GACAACAUCAACAAGCUAAGACCUGAGCCCUAGGACCAUGCCUCAGGACUACCUGGCAUGAUGACUCCUUGCUGUCCCCAGUCCACCUGGCCCUGCAGCUGCUCCAGUUUCAACUGUUCUGCCUGUGGCUAUGGAACCCUGACCUGUUCACCAGACGUGCCACCUGUCCCAGGCCUGAUGUUUUCAACUCUCUAGAGACAGCAGGAGCGGACAAUCACCCAACACACCUCCAGGCUGUGUAAGGGCUAUUUGACCAAGAAGGAGUGAUGGAGUGCUAUAUCAGAUGACCUGGCCUCAAUAAUCACUCAACCUCAACCCAAUUGACCGCAGAGUGAAGGAAAAGCAGCCAACAAGUGCACAGCAUAUGAGGGGACUCCUUCAAGACAGUUGGAAAAGCAUUUCAGUGAGCAGACAGAACUAUUGGAAAGACUGGAAGGGAACGCAGCUCCAAAGACCACCUUUGCAAGAUGAUGAGUGGCCCGCAGAGACCAGAGCACAGCCUGCAUGACCUACAGGAGAAGUCCAUCAUACACACCUACACACACACACACCUGGAAAGCCCACAGAGAACAGUGUGUGUGUGUAACUUUGGAUCCUAGGGUCACAAGUUCAAGUCUGCCUCUGGAGCUCCAGCUUCACCUUAGUUUAAUUAUAAUAUGCUGAAUGACUCUGCAGGACACUUGCAUAAAUGGUCGUGCAUCAUUUUCAACAAACCUAAACAUCCUAAUAUUCUGUCUCCACUUAUGUUGUUGAUGUUAUUCAAUAUUAGUUUACAUUGUAUCAUCUGCUAAUACUCACUCAGUUGUGCAUGGUAAAACAAGACAUUACAAUUUUCUCGAUGUUCCUCUCUAACUCACUAUAUGUUGGCUCUUUGUUUGGGACUGGGUCUGGCUUGUACUGUGUAUCACUGUCAGGACUUACCAGGGUCAGUGAGGAAAUCUCUUUUCCCAUAGUCUCACACCAGCAUAGUUGGUGAUACAGUGUAUUGACUCAGGCAGAUGAACCCCUGACUGUCAUAACAAAGAGCACUACUGUUGUGUGUGUGUGUGUGUGUGUGUGUGUGUGUGUGUGUGUGUGUGUGUGUGUGUUGACCUCUCAUUGUCCCCCAACAAUCAGUGCCAAUGUUCUGGAUAACAGAGCUCUUUUUUUAUUGGGGGUUAAAUUAAACAACACAGACAGUUUAUAUCUCACCCACAGCAUUAGAUCACGGUAAAAGAAGGCAGAAGGGCAUCACCACCAAUAACCAUAGGCUUUAACCCAUAGCCUACAAUGGUCGCGCCCCUGCGGAAAUCUAAUUAAACAGAAUACCAAAAUCCCCAUCAAAAUCUAACUCAUGCCUCCACACUGCAUAUAAAAAUAAGUCUUCCCUUUGAAUUAGCUCUCUCUCCUUUUACAGAAUUGAAGUUGUAAAACUGUAAACCCAUUUUAUUUCACCAUGUUGUAUCCACAACAGUAACCCUACAGCAAUGACAUCAUGCUUCAUUGUCAGGACCUGUAACUACAGACAGAGGUACAUGAUAUGAUGAUAGACAAAGUGCAGUAUAUGAGGUCUGUCAACACAUUUGUAUGUCACAUUUUCUUAAACUUUUGCACACCACAGGGGGUUCUUCACAAUUUUACAAAUGCAGCAGUUGUACAAAAGUAUAAUUUCGACUUCAGUUUGUGAGGUCAUAUUGUGUAACAUGUCUGUAAAAUUUCCUGUCACCCUGAAUGUGGCAAUUCUUUACAUGAGUCAUUUCCUUCAAAUUUGACUUUUUGUGACACUAAUGUUUCAAACUUUAACCCACAGUCUAGUCAGGAGUCUUAGCUGUCGCCAAAGUGGAGAUGUAAGGUAAAUUUAUGCAGUGUUAUGGCCAACUCAAUUAAAGAAAAGGAAACUUUAUUAUCCAUAGCUCCGAAUCUCCUCGCUGUGUUGCUCUGUCUGUAAACCCAGCUCAUUAUUUCACCAACAACUCUGAGGUGCUGCUAAAGCUGAAUGGGAUAUACUACCAGGCUACAUCGUGAACUCGCUCUCGCUCGCUCAAAUUCAGAUUGCUUUAUUGGCAUGAAAUACAAUUUGUAGAUAUUGCCAUAGCCGUACAGCAUUUCGGUAAAUGCAAUGAGGAUAAUGAAAUACAGUUAAUUUCAGUAGUAAUAAUA
ensembl:lncRNA